rnacentral:rRNA from 1 species
CUGAUGCAGCGACGCCGCGUGAGGGAUGACGGCCUUCGGGUUGUAAACCUCUUUCAGCAGGGACGAAGCGCAAGUGACGGUACCUGCAGAAGAAGCACCGGCCAACUACGUGCCAGCAGCCGCGGUAAUACGUAGGGUGCGAGCGUUGUCCGGAAUUACUGGGCGUAAAGAGUUCGUAGGCGGUUUGUCGCGUCGUCUGUGAAAACCCACCGCUCAACGGUGGGCCUGCAGGCGAUACGGGCAGACUUGAGUACUGCAGGGGAGACUGGAAUUCCUGGUGUAGCGGUGAAAUGCGCAGAUAUCAGGAGGAACACCGGUGGCGAAGGCGGGUCUCUGGGCAGUAACUGACGCUGAGGAACGAAAGCGUGGGUAGCAAACAGGAUUAGAUACCCUGGUAGUCCACGCCGUAAACGGUGGGCGCUAGGUGUGGGUUCCUUCCACGGGAUCUGUGCCGUAGCUAACGCAUUAAGCGCCCCGCCUGGGGAGUACGGCCGCAAGGCUAAAACUCAAAGGAAUUGACGGGGGCCCGCACAAGCGGCGGAGCAUGUGGAUUAAUUCGAUGCAACGCGAAGAACCUUACCUGGGUUUGACAUGUACUGGAAAGCCGUAGAGAUACGGCCCCCCUUGUGGCCGGUACAC